rnacentral:rRNA from 1 species
AUUGAACGCUGGCGGCAGGCCUAACACAUGCAAGUCGAACGAGUGGCGGAGGGGUGAGUAAGGUCUGGGAAACUGCCUGAUGGAGGGGGAUAACUACUGGAAACGGUAGCUAAUAACGCAUAACAUCAGAUGUGCCCAGAUGGGAUUAGCGAGUUGGUGGGGUAACGGCUGACCAAGGCGAAGAUCCCUAGCUGGUCUGAGAGGAUGACCGGCCACACUGGAACUGAGACACGGUCCAGACUCCUACGGGAGGCAGCAGUGGGGAAUAUUGCACAAUGGGCGCAAGCCUGAUGCAGCCAUGCCGCGUGUAUGAAGAAGGCCUUCGGGUUGUAAAGUACUUUCGGCGGGGAGGCGUUACCCGCAGAAGAAGCACCGGCUAACUCCGUGCCAGCAGCCGCGGUAAUAC